AAUUGUUUUACCAGGGGGCCCAGUAAGAGUCCCAUUAAACUUUAAACUAUGGCUACUGUAGGGUCAUUUAAGUUUCUUCAUGUCAAGAGUCCAGUAAGCAAUAAAAGAAAACAAUGUUGGUAGAGAAAUGGACAAGUACAGCAGCCACAGUAUGGUGUGGUUACCAGAAGCCUAGGCACUCAGGGAUGACUGUCUGGGUAACCCCACCAGUUUCCCAGAAAAAGAGACCAACCAGAAACUUGAAGGAGUUCUUCCCAGAUGGAAUAAAUUUACCGUGUGAAUCACGUGAAUCCAAGGGAUGCAAGGAUUGGCCUAUACUGGAUUGGAUGCUCUGGUAUACUACUCAGAUUUCCUCUUCAGAACUAAUGCAUUUAUCCCCCAGCUAUGAAAUUGUUGGCUGCUGGCAGUCUAUAGCUAAUGCAGUCACUGGAAAUUAUCCUUGGUUGAAGGGACCUAACUUGUCCAAGUCUACACCUAUUUCCAGGAAUAGUUCAAUCCAUUGACUUGUUGAUGCAGGACUACACAGGUCAAGCCUUCUUGUUUUGAUGUGGACAAAUCUGAAGGGAUAUCCCAGCUCCAGACCUCGCAUAGGUCUGAGCUAAAGAGACCUCAUAGGUCUGUGUCAAUUUCUGUCUUUACCCAGUCCUGCUUCUCUCAUUCCUUUAUAGGUGUUGUUCUGGAACUUCCUAAUAAACCAGCUGCAUGCAAA